rnacentral:lncRNA from 1 species
CAUAGCCUGCUAGGUUUUAAAAAAAAAUCCGAAUCCAGUUACCAGUACCAAGCCUGCGGGACUUUAAGCCCGGAUAUAUCAUCUUAGUUAAUUCACAAGUUGUAUACACAUCAAUUCACAUACCUUCGAUUUUUCCAACACGGAAACACAUUAAUAAGGUAUCACUUCAUUCGAACUUAUUCGUAUCUCAAUAUAGCUAGUCUCAUUUCACAAGAGCCAU